rnacentral:rRNA from 1 species
AGUGAACGCUGGCGGUAGGCCUAGCACAUGCAAGUCGAACGGCAGCACAGUAAGAACUUGCUCUUACGGGUGGCGAGUGGCAGACGGGUGAGGAAUACAUCGGAAUCUACUUUUUCGUGGGGGAUAACGUAGGGAAACUUACGCUAAUACCGCAUACGACCUACGGGUGAAAGCAGGGGAUCUUCGGACCUUGCGCGAUUGAAUGAGCCGAUGUCGGAUUAGCUAGUUGGCGGGGUAAAGGCCCACCAAGGCGACGAUCCGUAGCUGGUCUGAGAGGAUGAUCAGCCACACUGGAACUGAGACACGGUCCAGACUCCUACGGGAGGCAGCAGUGGGGAAUAUUGGACAAUGGGCGCAAGCCUGAUCCAGCCAUACCGCGUGGGUGAAGAAGGCCUUCGGGUUGUAAAGCCCUUUUGUUGGGAAAGAAAAGCAGCAGGUUAAUACCCCGCUGUUCUGACGGUACCCAAAGAAUAAGCACCGGCUAACUUCGUG